CCUACGGGGGGCAGCAGUGGGGGAUAUUGCACAAUGGGGGAAACCCUGAUGCAGCGACGCCGCGUGUGGGAAGACGGUCCUCUGGAUUGUAAACCACUGUCCCCAGGGACGAAGAUGACGGUACCUGGGGAGGAAGCUCCGGCUAACUACGUGCCAGCAGCCGCGGUAAUACGUAGGGAGCGAGCGUUGUCCGGAAUUACUGGGUGUAAAGGGAGCGUAGGCGGGACUGCAAGUUGGGUGUCAAAUCUACCGGCUCAACCGGUAGCCGCACUCAAAACUGCAGUUCUUGAGGGAAGUAGAGGCAGGCGGAAUUCCUAGUGUAGCGGUGAAAUGCGUAGAUAUUAGGAGGAACACCAGUGGCGAAGGCGGCCUGCUGGGCUUUUACUGACGCUGAGGCUCGAAAGUGUGGGGAGCAAACAGGAUUAGAUACCCGGGUAGUC
rnacentral:rRNA from 1 species